rnacentral:tRNA from 1 species
GGGGUUAUGGCUCAGUGGUAGAGCGCCUGCUUAGCAUGCUUGAGGCACUGAGUUCGAUUCUCAAUACCACA